CGCCCUCUUCUCACCUAAGACCUUGCAGAGACCUGUCCCCAAGGAAGCUGGACUUGGUCUGCCACUCACUGCUGUUAUAGAAGAAGGACGGAGAGGAGCCCACUAGAAACUUAUUUUCCCUGUGUUGCAAAGAAGAAGUCACGGGGUCGCCGGUAAGUGAGUGCAGCUGAUGCACGCCGCCCGCCUCGGCGCCAGCUCCUGCGCUCCUCAUUUCCAGUCCUAAGGACGACUCGGCGCCUUGGCUAUUUAUUGCCAUCCCCAGCCUUACCCCUGAGGACGCCAAAGCAG
rnacentral:lncRNA from 1 species